UACGGAGGGUGCAAGCGUUAUCCGGAUUCACUGGGUUUAAAGGGUGCGUAGGCGGGCAGGUAAGUCCGUGGUGAAAUCUCUGAGCUUAACUCAGAAACUGCCAUGGAUACUAUUUGUCUUGAAUAUUGUGGAGGUAAGCGGAAUAUGUCAUGUAGCGGUGAAAUGCUUAGAUAUGACAUAGAACACCAAUUGCGAAGGCAGCUUACUACACAGUUAUUGACGCUGAGGCACGAAAGCGUGGGGAUCAAACAGA
rnacentral:rRNA from 1 species